UACGUAGGGUGCAAGCGUUAAUCGGAAUUACUGGGCGUAAAGCGUGCGCAGGCGGUUUUGUAAGCCAGAUGUGAAAAGCCCCCGGGCGUCAACCUGGGAACUGCGUUUGGAACUACAAGACUAGAGUGUGUCAGAGGGGGGUGGAAUUCCGCGUGUAGCAGUGAAAUGCGUAGAUAUGUGGAGGAACACCAAUGGCGAAGGCAGCCCCCUGGGAUAACACUGACGCUCAUGUACGAAAGCGUGGGUAGCAAACAGGAUUAGAUACCCUAGUAGU
rnacentral:rRNA from 1 species